UUAGUGGAAGCGUCUGGAAAGGCGCGCGAUACAGGGUGACAGCCCCGUACACAAAAGCGCAUGUGCUGUGAGCUCGAUGAGUAGGGCGGGACACGUGGUAUCCUGUCUGAAUAUGGGGGGACCAUCCUCCAAGGCUAAAUACUCCUGACUGACCGAUAGUGAACCAGUACCGUGAGGGAAAGGCGAAAAGAACCCCGGCGAGGGGAGUGAAAAAGAACCUGAAACCGUGUACGUACAAGCAGUGGGAGCCCCACCACCAAAGCAUUCUCUGGUGUUGAAGGCCCUGCAAAGCAGCAUCGCGGUGGCGGAGCGUCGUUUGCGACGCCCAACACACAAAACAAGCGGUGAGUGCUUUGGGGUGGGGUGACUGCGUACCUUUUGUAUAAUGGGUCAGCGACUUAUAUUCUGUAGCAAGGUUAACCGAAUAGGGGAGCCGGAGGGAAACCGAGUCUUAAUUGGGCGUUAAGUUGCAGGGUAUAGACCCGAAACCCGGUGAUCUAGCCAUGGGCAGGUUGAAGGUUGGGUAACACUAACUGGAGGACCGAACCGACUAAUGUUGAAAAAUUAGCGGAUGACCUGUGGCUGGGGGUGAAAGGCCAAUCAAACCGGGAGAUAGCUGGUUCUCCCCGAAAGCUAUUUAGGUAGCGCCUCGUGAAUUCAUCUCCGGGGGUAGAGCACUGUUUCGGCU
rnacentral:rRNA from 1 species